AUGCAGAUGAUGAGAGGUGGGAGAGAGAAGAUGACUCUUUUCUGGCAACUUGACUCCUUUUCCACUUGGUGUUGGUUCCUUCCUCAAAAGCAUCUCUUGAGAAGACAUAACCCUUUCCAGAUGGCCAAGCACCUCAACACAUCCAGUCACCACUUCCACCUGGAGCAAAGGGAAGAUGGGAGCCCCAGCAAGAGGAUGAUGUGUUUGGGCUCACAGUGCAUCCAUGGGAGAGACACCCCAGUGCAAAGCAGGGCCAGCCACUAUCUUGCUCUCGAGCAGGAGUUGCAAUGGUGUCAGCCAGGGAGGCUGAGCUCUCCAUCCCUUGCUGGUUACAGUGGGUGACCAGUGUCCCACCUUGCCACGGAGGUCAACGGAAGUUCACUUGUUGACUUAAUGCACAGAAUUUCACCCCCUGUCUGCGAUUAGUGAUGAAAUGAAAUUCACAGCUUGGAAUAAUUUAUCCAGCAUAUCCAAUCAAACACAAACAUCCUUUGUGCUUGAAAAUUAAUCAGGGCUGGAGGCAGCUAGCCUGCUGCAGAGGUUUGUGAUAGAUUAAUGAGCUGAGAACAAGCUGCCACCUCCACCCCCAUCAUCAGUGAUUUUCCAGUCUGAGGAAAGGGACGCUAGAGGUGAAGUAUACACUCUGAUAAGUGCUGCAGUGGGAGGUGAGAAAUAAGAGCUCCAAGUGGAGGAGGAGGGGGGAAAAAAGGCAGGCACUGUCCUCUGCUAAGCAGGGUAGGGUUUAGACAGAGCAGCUGCCUGACAGUCUUCUGGCAGAAGGGUCAGGGCAGGAGCAGCCCUGUGCUCGCAGCACCUGUUAUUGAACGCUACCCGCAGGUACCAGGGCAGCACAGACCCUGAUUUUCUGACUUCUUCCACUCACGUGGGAAGGUCAGGGGCCUGUGAGACAAAAGGAGAUGAUGAAAUGGCUGACAAGGUCUGCCCUCAGUGAGAUGCAGUAACACCAAUGCAGAAGGGCUCAUAUCCCAGAGGCUUUUUGGGUUCAAAGAUGACAAUAAAGUCUGACUCUCACUACUCAGUGAUUUCUAAUUGGGAAAUUCAUGUUACUCACCC
rnacentral:lncRNA from 12 species